AGUGCCGCCUCUCAGCCCGAGUACAGACCUUCUCCAGGGACGCGUCCAUGACUGAGGUGGCCGGCGGAGCCGGAGAAAGGCCCCGUGGUCCGGGAGCUACUUCCGCCUCCCGCGCCCCGCCGCGGUUUCCACGCUGGCAGCGCUGACGUCCCCCGCGGCCGCGGCCGGCGGGGCGGAGAGGAAGAGGAGCGGCCCGGCGUCGCCGCGGGACCUCACCGCGGAAUUCCAGAGGAAGAGACUUUGAAACAACUGGUCCGUCUUCCUUCAUUAGGUCAAACCAUAAUUAUGACUUGUAAGGUGAUAAGAAUAGAUCAGCUGCUGCCGUUCCACUUGAUGACAGCACAGCUCUAAGAUGGAGCGAUGGUUAUUCAUAUCCCAGUGCCAGUCUAGGUAGGAUGCAGACCCAAGCACCGUGACUGCAGCGCCGGUUCACCACACAGACUGCCUCCGUAACCGUUUCCACCCCUGCUUAGAAGCAUGAUGUGUUUUUAAGGAAUGAGAGAGGGCAAACAUUUGUUUAUUAUAUUUGUCUAAUGAGGAAUACUGAAAUAGACUAGUCUACCACGUUUGCGGUCAGAAAACACUUCAGCAAAGACCAAUGACGUUGCAACCACAAAACCAUUCCUUCUAUCUCCUCUUUUGCGCACAUCUCUUCUGAAGUCUGCCUAAACGACUGGGUCACAUUUUCAGUGUAGUAAUUACUAAUUACACGUUCUGCGAUGCCUAACUUAUAUUGGAUAAAUUGCCCAGUUAUGUUAAUAAAAUUUUUUCUACCAAAAGCA